rnacentral:tRNA from 1 species
GUUGCAAUAGCUCAAUCGGAAGAGCACCCGGCUCAUAACCGGGCGCAUGUGGGUUCAAAUCCCUCUUGCAGCA